rnacentral:rRNA from 1 species
UACGUAGGGUGCAAGCGUUGUCCGGAAUUAUUGGGCGUAAAGAGCUCGUAGGCGGUCUGUCGCGUCGAAUGUGAAAACCCGGGACUCAACUCCGGGCCUGCAUUCGAUACGGGCAGACUAGAGUUCGGUAGGGGAGACUGGAAUUCCUGGUGUAGCGGUGAAAUGCGCAGAUAUCAGGAGGAACACCGGUGGCGAAGGCGGGUCUCUGGGCCGAUACUGACGCUGAGGAGCGAAAGCGUGGGGGGCAAACAGG